rnacentral:lncRNA from 1 species
AGUAGGCAUAAGAAUGACUUUUUUUUUUUUUUUUCCCCAGCCCCGCCUUGCCAGCUGAGCAGUAUUAGCAGUACAUGAGAGUUUAGGACUUUUCUGUGAUGCCCAUGUAGCCAUACUGAUGGAAAAGGGCUGCACAUCUGUAAGAAGAACUGGAACCAAACCUACAGAUGCGAGUGUGAGCAGGGAAGUCACCUUCCUCUUCCUCUUCCUCAGCAUGGGUAGCAAUGGUUUGACCCAAUUGGCUGUUGAGCAUUCAAGAAACUGAAGCAUGUGAAUAGUCCUGCUAAAGUCACAAGGAAGCCACGUGCAUUGAAGACACGGUGUAGGAUAAAAACUGUCCCUGGGUCGAAGCCUGCAGAAAUAAAGAACUUCUAGAUGUUAUCCA